rnacentral:rRNA from 1 species
AUCUGAAGGAAUACCGGUGGCGAAGGCGGCCCCCUGGACAGAUACUGACACUCAGAUGCGAAAGCGUGGGGAGCAAACAGGAUUAGAUACCCUGGUAGUCCACGCCGUAAACGAUGUCUACUUGGAGGUUGUGGCCUUGAGCCGUGGCUUUCGGAGCUAACGCGUUAAGUAGACCGCCUGGGGAGUACGGUCGCAAGAUUAAAACUCAAAUGAAUUGACGGGGGCCCGCACAAGCGGUGGAGCAUGUGGUUUAAUUCGAUGCAACGCGAAGAACCUUACCUACUCUUGACAUCCAUAGAACUUUCCAGAGAUGGAUUGGUGCCUUCGGGAACUAUGAGACAGGUGCUGCAUGGCUGUCGUCAGCUCGUGUUGUGAAAUGUUGGGUUAAGUCCCGCAACGAGCGCAACCCUUAUCCUUGUUUGCCAGCACUUCGGGUGGGAACUCCAGGGAGACUGCCGGUGAUAAACCGGGGGAAGGUGGGGACGACGUCAAGUCAUCAUGGCCCUUACGAGUAGGGCUACACACGUGCUACAAUGGCGCAUACAGAGGGCGGCCAACUUGCGAAAGUGAGCGAAUCCCAAAAAGUGCGUCGUAGUCCGGAUUGGAGUCUGCAACUCGACUCCAUGAAGUCGGAAUCGCUAGUAAUCGUGGAUCAGAAUGCCACGGUGAAUACGUUCCCGGGCCUUGUACACACCGCCCA